rnacentral:rRNA from 1 species
AAUGAACGCUGGCGGCGUGCUUAACACAUGCAAGUCGUACGAGAAACCCCGGCUUGCCGGGGGAGUAAAGUGGCGCACGGGUGAGUAACGCGUGGGUAAUCUACCCUCGAAUUGGGGAUAACACACCGAAAGGUGUGCUAAUACCGAAUAAGACCACGACCUCCACGGGGGUUGCGGUCAAAGAUGGCCUCUGCUUGCAAGCUGUCGUUUGAGGAUGAGCCCGCGUACCAUUAGCUUGUUGGUGGGGUAAUGGCCUACCAAGGCAACGAUGGUUAGCUGGUCUGAGAGGAUGGCCAGCCACACUGGAACUGGAACACGGUCCAGAAUCCUACGGGAGGCAGCAGGGAGGAAUUUUGCGCAAUGGGGGAAACCCUGACGCAGCAACGCCGCGUGAGUGAAGAAGGCCUUCGGGUUGUAAAGCUCUGUCAAGUGGGAAGAACCUUUUUCGGCCGAAUACGCCGAGAAACUGACGGUACCGCUGAAGGAAGCACCGGCUAACUCCGUGCCAGCCGCCGCCGUAA